UGAAUGUUGAGCAGUUACAAUAUUCACAUCCAGUAGGUUGGUCUGAACCUGGUAACUUAGUUAUUAGUGAUUCAUCUGUGUGUCUAUGAUGAAACAUAAGAUCAACAUGGUAGACUAGUCUUGGAUCAACCACAAGGUGUCUCUCAACAUAUCAACAAAUGCAUUAUGGCCCAUUUGUCUUGCCAAGCUAUCUUUGAUGAAAGCAUUCAAGUCAAGAGCAUGUUCUAGAUCUCGUGAUAUUGGAAACAACCUCUCUACUCUACACAAUCCUAUUCAGACGUCACUAGUGAGAUCACACUGCUACAUUAAAUUACAGGGCAUCGUCAAUACAUUGUUGGCCUUGACAAUCACGUUCAGUGCAAUAGCAUGUUUCAAGGAUUCAUGACACUCUGCUGAACUUUGUGAAUAACUAGACCUUACACUAGACAAAUAUGGCAC